GAAUCCUGGCUCAGGAUGAACGCUAGCUACAGGCUUAACACAUGCAAGUCGAGGGGCAGCGGGAUUGAAGCUUGCUUCAAUUGCCGGCGACCGGCGCACGAGUGAGUAACGCGUAUCCAACCUUCCGCUUACUCGGGGAUAGCCUUUCGAAAGAAAGAUUAAUACCCGAUGGUAUCUUAAGCACGCAUGAGAUUAAGAUUAAAGAUUUAUCGGUAAGCGAUGGGGAUGCGUUCCAUUAGG
rnacentral:rRNA from 1 species